rnacentral:rRNA from 1 species
UAGUUCGAUUCUGGCUCAGGAUGAACGCUGGCGGCGUGCUUAACACAUGCAAGUCGAACGGGAUCCAUCAAGUUUGCUUGGUGGUGAGAGUGGCGAACGGGUGAGUAAUGCGUGACCGACCUGCCCCAUACACCGGAAUAGCUCCUGGAAACGGGUGGUAAUGCCGGAUGCUCCGACUCCUCGCAUGGGGUGUCGGGAAAGAUUAUAUCGGUAUGGGAUGGGGUCGCGUCCUAUCAGGUAGUCGGCGGGGUAACGGCCCACCGAGCCUACGACGGGUAGCCGGCCUGAGAGGGCGACCGGCCACAUUGGGACUGAGAUACGGCCCAGACUCCUACGGGAGGCAGCAGUGGGGAAUAUUGCACAAUGGGCGCAAGCCUGAUGCAGCGACGCCGCGUGCGGGAUGACGGCCUUCGGGUUGUAAACCGCUUUUGAUCGGGAGCAAGCCUUCGGGUGAGUGUACCUUUCGAAUAAGCACCGGCUAACUACGUGCCAGCAGCCGCGGUAAUACGUAGGGUGCAAGCGUUAUCCGGAAUUAUUGGGCGUAAAGGGCUCGUAGGCGGUUCGUCGCGUCCGGUGUGAAAGUCCAUCGCUUAACGGUGGAUCUGCGCCGGGUACGGGCGGGCUGGAGUGCGGUAGGGGAGACUGGAAUUCCCGGUGUAACGGUGGAAUGUGUAGAUAUCGGGAAGAACACCAAUGGCGAAGGCAGGUCUCUGGGCCGUUACUGACGCUGAGGAGCGAAAGCGUGGGGAGCGAACAGGAUUAGAUACCCUGGUAGUCCACGCCGUAAACGGUGGAUGCUGGAUGUGGGGCCCGUUCCACGGGUUCCGUGUCGGAGCUAACGCGUUAAGCAUCCCGCCUGGGGAGUACGGCCGCAAGGCUAAAACUCAAAGAAAUUGACGGGGGCCCGCACAAGCGGCGGAGCAUGCGGAUUAAUUCGAUGCAACGCGAAGAACCUUACCUGGGCUUGACAUGUUCCCGACAGCCGUAGAGAUAUGGCCUCCCUUCGGGGCGGGUUCACAGGUGGUGCAUGGUCGUCGUCAGCUCGUGUCGUGAGAUGUUGGGUUAAGUCCCGCAACGAGCGCAACCCUCGCCCUGUGUUGCCAGCACGUCAUGGUGGGAACUCACGGGGGACCGCCGGGGUCAACUCGGAGGAAGGUGGGGAUGACGUCAGAUCAUCAUGCCCCUUACGUCCAGGGCUUCACGCAUGCUACAAUGGCCGGUACAACGGGAUGCGACACGGCGACGUGGAGCGGAUCCCUGAAAACCGGUCUCAGUUCGGAUUGGAGUCUGCAACCCGACUCCAUGAAGGCGGAGUCGCUAGUAAUCGCGGAUCAGCAACGCCGCGGUGAAUGCGUUCCCGGGCCUUGUACACACCGCCCGUCAAGUCAUGAAAGUGGGUAGCACCCGAAGCCGGUGGCCUAACCCUUUGUGGAUGGAGCCGUCUAAGGUGAGACUCGUGAUUGGGACUAAGUCGUAACAAGGUAUCC